rnacentral:rRNA from 1 species
CCUACGGUAGGCAGCAGUGGGGAAUAUUGGGCAAUGGGCGCAAGCCUGAACCAGCCAUGCCGCGUGAAGGAAGAAGGCUUUCGGGUUGUAAACUUCUUUGUCAGGGGAAGUGCAGAAUACGGUACCCUGAAAACAAGCCACGGCUAACUAUGUGCCAGCGGCCGCGGUAAUACGGAGGUGGCAAGUGUUGUCCGGAUUGACUGGGUGUAAAGGGCGUGUAGCCGGGAAGGCAAGUCAGAUGUGAAAUCUGGAGGCUCAACCUCCAAAUUGCAUUUGAAACUGUUUUUCUGGAGUACUGGAGAGGCAGACGGAAUUCCUUGUGUAGCGGUGAAAUGCGUAGAUAUAAGGAGGAACACCAGUGGCGAAGGCAGUCUGCUGGACAGCAACUGACGGUGAGGCGCGAAAGCGUGGGGAGCAAACAGGAUUAGAUACCCGUGUAGUC